GACGUAGGGGGCGAGCGUUGUCCGGAUUUAUUGGGCGUAAAGAGCGUGUAGGCGGCCAAGCAGGUCCGCUGUGAAAACUCGAGGCUCAACCUCGAGACGUCGGUGGAAACCGUUUGGCUAGAGUCCGGAAGAGGAGAGUGGAAUUCCGCGUGUAGCAGUGAAAUGCGUAGAUAUGCGGAGGAACACCGAUGGCGAAGGCAAUCCCCUGGCCUGCACUGACGCUCAUGCACGAAAGCGUGGGGAGCAAACAGG
rnacentral:rRNA from 1 species